GACGAACGCUGGCGGCGUGCUUAACACAUGCAAGUCGAGCGGAAAGGCCCUUUCGGGGGUACUCGAGCGGCGAACGGGUGAGUAACACGUGAGUAAUCUGCCCUUGGCUUUGGGAUAACUACCGGAAACGGUGGCUAAUACCGGAUACGACCACUCCUUGCAUGAGGUGGUGGUGGAAAGUUUUUUCGGCCAGGGAUGUGCUCGCGGCCUAUCAGCUUGUUGGUGGGUAAUGGCCUACCAAGGCUUCGACGGGUAGCCGGCCUGAGAGGGUGACCGGCCACACUGGGACUGAGACACGGCCCAGACUCCUACGGGAGGCAGCGAGUGGGGAAUAUUGGACAAUGGGCGGAAGCCUGAUCCAGCAACGCCGCGUGAGGGAUGACGGCCU
rnacentral:rRNA from 1 species